AGUGGGGAAUAUUGGACAAUGGGCGAAAGCCUGAUCCAGCCAUGCCGCGUGUGUGAAGAAGGUCUUCGGAUUGUAAAGCACUUUAAGUUGGGAGGAAGGGCAGUAAGCUAAUAUCUUGCUGUUUUGACGUUACCGACAGAAUAAGCACCGGCUAACUCUGUGCCAGCAGCCGCGGUAAUACGGAGGGUGCAAGCGUUAAUCGGAAUUACUGGGCGUAAAGCGCGCGUAGGUGGUUUGUUAAGUUGGAUGUGAAAGCCCCGGGCUCAACCUGGGAACUGCAUCUGAUACUGGCAAGCUUGAGUCUCGUAGAGGGGGGUAGAAUUCCAGGUGUAGCGGUGAAAUGCGUAGAGAUCUGGAGGAAUACCGGUGGCGAAGGCGGCCCCCUGGACGAAGACUGACGCUCAGGUGCGAAAGCGUGGGGAGCAAACAGGAUUAGAU
rnacentral:rRNA from 1 species